rnacentral:rRNA from 1 species
GAUGAACGCUGGCGGCGUGCCUAAUACAUGCAAGUCGAGCGAACGGACGAGGAGCUUGCUCCUCUGACGUUAGCGGCGGACGGGUGAGUAACACGUGGAUAACCUACCUAUAAGACUGGGAUAACUUCGGGAAACCGGAGCUAAUACCGGAUAAUAUAUUGAACCGCAUGGUUCAAUAGUGAAAGACGGUUUUGCUGUCACUUAUAGAUGGAUCCGCGCCGCAUUAGCUAGUUGGUAAGGUAACGGCUUACCAAGGCGACGAUGCGUAGCCGACCUGAGAGGGUGAUCGGCCACACUGGAACUGAGACACGGUCCAGACUCCUACGGGAGGCAGCAGUAGGGAAUCUUCCGCAAAGGGCGAAAGCCUGACGGAGCAACGCCGCGUGAGUGAUGAAGGUCUUCGGAUCGUAAAACUCUGUUAUUAGGGAAGAACAAAUGUGUAAGUAACUAUGCACGUCUUGACGGUACCUAAUCAGAAAGCCACGGCUAACUACGUG